rnacentral:misc_RNA from 1 species
UUAAGUUCAGCGGGUCCUCCUACCUGAUUUGAGACCAUGGUUCGGGUUCUUUUUCAAACCUCCGUGGUGAACUUGGCCCAGCCCGAGCUUGCGCCAGAGUUUCGUAUAGGGCACUCAAAGAGUUUCAAAUACAUACGCUCUCGCACUCGUUCAGUGUCAAGCUAUAGCUUUAAGGGCACUCAGAAGAGACGCCCCAAAUC